rnacentral:rRNA from 1 species
UACGUAGGGUCCGAGCGUUGUCCGGAAUUACUGGGCGUAAAGAGCUCGUAGGUGGUUUGUCGCGUUGUUCGUGAAAACUCACAGCUUAACUGUGGGCGUGCGGGCGAUACGGGCAGACUAGAGUACUGCAGGGAGGACUGGAAUUCCUGGUGUAGCGGUGGAAUGCGCAGAUAUCAGGAGGAACACCGGUGGCGAAGGCGGGUCUCUGGGCCUUCCUGACGCUGAGACGCGAAGCGUGG